GCUGACCGGCGGCCCGGCCGAGUGCCGGACGUUGUGAAUGGUAGUGAAGCUACUUCACGACCAAGGUCGCAGGAGGCUGGUGUAUGAGUGGAUUCGUAUUUUAAAGUUGGCCCCCAAAAUCAACCCUGAGGGCGCACAUCACUUUAUGAAAAGAGUUGCUCUAGUACCACGAGAACAUGAUUGUUUUUUUUCAGAUUCCCUACACGUGGAUGUGAUAGAGGCAUGGCAUACUAGUUUCGCAAAUAUCACACAGUUUUCUCGCUCAUCAAUGCACAGAGCCCACAAUGUGCCGUGAUAGUGAAUAUCGAACAUUACCGGUAGAGCGAUACUGUGUUUGCGGUUUUCCACCGCUCCGAGGAAAUGAACCUUUUGGUUUCACACGUGACGGGUUUGGCUGCAGCCUUUAUGUAACCGAGCAUCGAUAGUGAAGCUGGGGAAUAAAUCAUUCCUUGUUAGAUUUUCC